CUCGUAGGCUGUUGCGUAAGUCGGAUGUGAAAACUCAGGGCUCAACCCUGAGACGCCAUCUGAUACUGCGCUGACUAGAGUCCGGUAGGGGAGCAUGGAAUUCCUGGUGUAGCGGUGAAAUGCGCAGAUAUCAGGAGGAACACCAGUGGCGAAGGCGGUGCUCUGGGCCGGUACUGACGCUGAGGAGCGAAAGCAUGGGGAGCAAACAGGAUUAGAUACCCUGGUAGUCC
rnacentral:rRNA from 1 species